UCACCUGUACUAUACCAUCUUGU
rnacentral:snRNA from 1 species